rnacentral:lncRNA from 1 species
AGGGUUGUGAUAAAAGAAGUUUUAUAAGAAAUAACUAAGUUGAUUCUACUUAUAAAAAUAUUGACUUGAGUUCUUCUAGUUUGUUUAAGUUGGAGUUAACUCUUUUGCAAAGAAAGGUUGGUUUGGAAGUUGUCUAAAUGAUUAUAAGGUAAAUUGAAAGUUAACUCUAAUUAAUUCUAAAUAUGUUGGAUUUUUGAGAAGUAAUGAAGCUUAUACAAUGAUUUC